AAUCAACGCUGGCGGCGUGCCUAACACAUGCAAGUCGAACGCGGUUACCCCGCAAGGGGUAACUGAGUGGCAAACGGGUGAGUAACGCGUGGGUGACCUGCCUUCGAGUGGGGGAUAACGUUUCGAAAGGAACGCUAAUACCGCAUGACAUCCUGCCUUUGGACAGGCGGAGAUCAAAGCCGGGGAUCGCAAGACCUGGCGCUUGGAGAGGGGCCCGCGUCCGAUUAGCUAGUUGGUGAGGUAACGGCUCACCAAGGCGACGAUCGGUAGCCGGCCUGAGAGGGCGGACGGCCACACUGACACUGACAUACGGGUCAGACUCCUACGGGAGGCAGCAGUCGGGAAUUUUGGGCAAUGGGCGAAAGCCUGACCCAGCAACGCCGCGUGAAGGAUGAAAUCCCUCGGGAUGUAAACUUCGCAAGAACGGGAAGAAUAAGUAAGGGUUAAUAUCUCUUACGAUGACGGUACUGUUUGUAAGCUCCGGCUAACUCCGUGC
rnacentral:rRNA from 1 species